rnacentral:rRNA from 2 species
UUAAGCGACUAAGCGUACACGGUGGAUGCCCUGGCAGUCAGAGGCGAUGAAGGACGUGCUAAUCUGCGAUAAGCGUCGGUAAGGUGAUAUGAACCGUUAUAACCGGCGAUUUCCGAAUGGGGAAACCCAGUGUGAUUCGUCACACUAUCAUUAACUGAAUUCAUAGGUUAAUGAGGCGAACCGGGGGAACUGAAACAUCUAAGUACCCCGAGGAAAAGAAAUCAACCGAGAUUCCCCCAGUAGCGGCGAGCGAACGGGGAGGAGCCCAGAGCCUGAAUCAGUGUGUGUGUUAGUGGAAGCGUCUGGAAAGGCGCGCGAUACAGGGUGACAGCCCCGUACACAAAAAUGCACAUGCUGUGAGCUCGAUGAGUAGGGCGGGACACGUGGUAUCCUGUCUGAAUAUGGGGGGACCAUCCUCCAAGGCUAAAUACUCCUGACUGACCGAUAGUGAACCAGUACCGUGAGGGAAAGGCGAAAAGAACCCCGGCGAGGGGAGUGAAAAAGAACCUGAAACCGUGUACGUACAAGCAGUGGGAGCCUCUUAAUGGGGUGACUGCGUACCUUUUGUAUAAUGGGUCAGCGACUUAUAUUCUGUAGCAAGGUUAACCGAAUAGGGGAGCCGAAGGGAAACCGAGUCUUAACUGGGCGUUAAGUUGCAGGGUAUAGACCCGAAACCCGGUGAUCUAGCCAUGGGCAGGUUGAAGGUUGGGUAACACUAACUGGAGGACCGAACCGACUAAUGUUGAAAAAUUAGCGGAUGACUUGUGGCUGGGGGUGAAAGGCCAAUCAAACCGGGAGAUAGCUGGUUCUCCCCGAAAGCUAUUUAGGUAGCGCCUCGUGAAUUCAUCUCCGGGGGUAGAGCACUGUUUCGGCAAGGGGGUCAUCCCGACUUACCAACCCGAUGCAAACUGCGAAUACCGGAGAAUGUUAUCACGGGAGACACACGGCGGGUGCUAACGUCCGUCGUGAAGAGGGAAACAACCCAGACCGCCAGCUAAGGUCCCAAAGUCAUGGUUAAGUGGGAAACGAUGUGGGAAGGCCCAGACAGCCAGGAUGUUGGCUUAGAAGCAGCCAUCAUUUAAAGAAAGCGUAAUAGCUCACUGGUCGAGUCGGCCUGCGCGGAAGAUGUAACGGGGCUAAACCAUGCACCGAAGCUGCGGCAGCGACGCUUAUGCGUUGUUGGGUAGGGGAGCGUUCUGUAAGCCUGCGAAGGUGUACUGUGAGGUAUGCUGGAGGUAUCAGAAGUGCGAAUGCUGACAUAAGUAACGAUAAAGCGGGUGAAAAGCCCGCUCGCCGGAAGACCAAGGGUUCCUGUCCAACGUUAAUCGGGGCAGGGUGAGUCGACCCCUAAGGCGAGGCCGAAAGGCGUAGUCGAUGGGAAACAGGUUAAUAUUCCUGUACUUGGUGUUACUGCGAAGGGGGGACGGAGAAGGCUAUGUUGGCCGGGCGACGGUUGUCCCGGUUUAAGCGUGUAGGCUGGUUUUCCAGGCAAAUCCGGAAAAUCAAGGCUGAGGCGUGAUGACGAGGCACUACGGUGCUGAAGUAACAAAUGCCCUGCUUCCAGGAAAAGCCUCUAAGCAUCAGGUAACAUCAAAUCGUACCCCAAACCGACACAGGUGGUCAGGUAGAGAAUACCAAGGCGCUUGAGAGAACUCGGGUGAAGGAACUAGGCAAAAUGGUGCCGUAACUUCGGGAGAAGGCACGCUGAUAUGUAGGUGAAGCGACUUGCUCGUGGAGCUGAAAUCAGUCGAAGAUACCAGCUGGCUGCAACUGUUUAUUAAAAACACAGCACUGUGCAAACACGAAAGUGGACGUAUACGGUGUGACGCCUGCCCGGUGCCGGAAGGUUAAUUGAUGGGGUUAGCGGUAACGCGAAGCUCUUGAUCGAAGCCCCGGUAAACGGCGGCCGUAACUAUAACGGUCCUAAGGUAGCGAAAUUCCUUGUCGGGUAAGUUCCGACCUGCACGAAUGGCGUAAUGAUGGCCAGGCUGUCUCCACCCGAGACUCAGUGAAAUUGAACUCGCUGUGAAGAUGCAGUGUACCCGCGGCAAGACGGAAAGACCCCGUGAACCUUUACUAUAGCUUGACACUGAACAUUGAGCCUUGAUGUGUAGGAUAGGUGGGAGGCUUUGAAGUGUGGACGCCAGUCUGCAUGGAGCCGACCUUGAAAUACCACCCUUUAAUGUUUGAUGUUCUAACGUUGGCCCCUAAUCGGGGUUGCGGACAGUGUCUGGUGGGUAGUUUGACUGGGGCGGUCUCCUCCUAAAGAGUAACGGAGGAGCACGAAGGUUGGCUAAUCCUGGUCGGACAUCAGGAGGUUAGUGCAAUGGCAUAAGCCAGCUUGACUGCGAGCGUGACGGCGCGAGCAGGUGCGAAAGCAGGUCAUAGUGAUCCGGUGGUUCUGAAUGGAAGGGCCAUCGCUCAACGGAUAAAAGGUACUCCGGGGAUAACAGGCUGAUACCGCCCAAGAGUUCAUAUCGACGGCGGUGUUUGGCACCUCGAUGUCGGCUCAUCACAUCCUGGGGCUGAAGUAGGUCCCAAGGGUAUGGCUGUUCGCCAUUUAAAGUGGUACGCGAGCUGGGUUUAGAACGUCGUGAGACAGUUCGGUCCCUAUCUGCCGUGGGCGCUGGAGAACUGAGGGGGGCUGCUCCUAGUACGAGAGGACCGGAGUGGACGCAUCACUGGUGUUCGGGUUGUCAUGCCAAUGGCACUGCCCGGUAGCUAAAUGCGGAAGAGAUAAGUGCUGAAAGCAUCUAAGCACGAAACUUGCCCCGAGAUGAGUUCUCCCUGACUCCUUGAGAGUCCUGAAGGAACGUUGAAGACGACGACGUUGAUAGGCCGGGUGUGUAAGCGCAGCGAUGCGUUGAGCUAACCGGUACUAAUGAACCGUGAGGCUUAACCUU